rnacentral:rRNA from 1 species
UACGGAAGGUCCGGGCGUUAUCCGGAUUUAUUGGGUUUAAAGGGAGCGUAGGCGGAUGCUUAAGCGUGUCGUGAAAUGCCGCGGCUCAACCGUGGCACUGCGGCGCGAACUGGGUGUCUUGAGUGUGCUGAAAGUAGGCGGAAUUCGUGGUGUAGCGGUGAAAUGCUUAGAUAUCACGAGGAACUCCGAUUGCGAAGGCAGCUUACUGUAUCACAACUGACGCUGAAGCUCGAAGGCGCGGGUAUCGAAC